rnacentral:lncRNA from 1 species
CUGGGGUGUGCGGUAGGGACCAGGUGAGCACAACGUGGGCUCCCACUAGAGCACUGAUGCGAGUACCACUCCUGGGGCCCCAGGAACUGGGCUGUUGUGACACUACUUAGCUGGCACCCUGGCAUGUGGCUUGGCCUGAGCUCAGUCCUGGCUCUAAUUAGAGAGAUUAGACUCCUCCAUCUCCUGACAUUCUGCAGCCUAGAUCCCUGGAGAAUGAUUUUGAGUAGAACUCACAUCUCAAAUCUCUUCCAAAAGAGGAGGGGGCCAUUUUCUCAAGGGCACUCCCUAGGAGACAGGAAGCUAAGAAUUUUCAGAUUGUGUCGUUGAGGAGGGGUUGCUAGUCCAUUCCAGACAUGCAUGUGCAUCUGUGCAAAGAAAAGGAGACGGGAAAAGGUAUGCUGAGUGUAGGCUAGAAGGCAUGCUAGGAAAAGUGGAUGACAAUGAAAUGAUGGAGAAAGUUCAGACACCAAAUCCUGCAGAUGACAAUUAUUUCUAGAGGGAGUCACUGAAGGCCUGAGCAGGGAAGGACAUGGCAAAGAUUAUCGUCUGGAGCAUACCUUUUAUUCUUUAAUUUAUUACUGGGCAGGACCAGGUGAUGUACUGGAUCUGGAGUCAGGAAGACAUCUUCAUGGAUUCAUAUCCAGCCUCACACAUAAGCUAUAUGACCUUCGGAAACAUUCAAUUCUCCUCCAGUCACAAGAAAUCCAUUUCUAUAUGUGAAAUGUGAAUCCAACAUUGUUUGAACAAAACAAAAAAAGUCCACUUUAUUGAGAGAAAUAAAUGAAAAUUCACG